rfam:Enterococcus sp. 9D6_DIV0238 scaffold00001, whole genome shotgun sequence.
UUCUCCUUUAAGAAUAGUCCCGUGAGGCUAAGAAGGAAACAUGCAGGAUCCAACUAGGUGCGCUUAGUCAUGGUCUGUGUGUGAUACAUGGUAUCUUUGUAUAGAUGUAUUCCAUCCUCCUACCUAAACACGGGUAGGAGGAUUUUUGUU